GAACGAGAAGGUGGAGCAAUCCAUGAGUAAAGUGGCGACCGGGUGAGUAACACGUGACUAACCUGCCCUAGAGUGGGGGAUAACCUCGGGAAACCGGGGCUAAUACCGCAUAACAUCACGAGGGGAAGAUCCUUGUGAUCAAAGGAGCAAUUCGCUCAAGGAGGGGGUCGCGGCUGAUUAGCCAGUUGGUGAGAUAACGGCUCACCAAAGCAAAGAUCAGUAGCCGGCCUGAGAGGGCGCACGGCCACACUGGAACUGAAACACGGUCCAGACUCCUACGGGAGGCAGCAGUGGGGAAUUUUGCGCAAUGGGGGAAACCCUGACGCAGCAACGCCGCGUGGAGGAUGAAGUCCCUUGGGAUGUAAACUCCUUUCGACCGGGACGAUACUGACGGUACCGGAAGAAGAAGCACCGGCUAACUCUGUG
rnacentral:rRNA from 1 species